rnacentral:piRNA from 1 species
UGCCUUUAGGUUCUGUGAUGGUAUAUCU